UACGUAGGGUGCAAGCGUUAAUCGGAAUUACUGGGCGUAAAGCGUGCGCAGGCGGUUAUGUAAGACAGGUGUGAAAUCCCCGGGCUUAACCUGGGAACUGCAUUUGUGACUGCAUAGCUAGAGUACGGUAGAGGGGGAUGGAAUUCCGCGUGUAGCAGUGAAAUGCGUAGAUAUGCGGAGGAACACCGAUGGCGAAGGCAAUCCCCUGGACCUGUACUGACGCUCAUGCACGAAAGCGUGGGGAGCAAACAGG
rnacentral:rRNA from 2 species